rnacentral:rRNA from 1 species
CGGCGGACGGGUGAGUAAUGUCUGGGAAACUGCCUGAUGGAGGGGGAUAACUACUGGAAACGGUAGCUAAUACCGCAUAACGUCGCAAGACCAAAGAGGGGGACCUUCGGGCCUCUUGCCAUCGGAUGUGCCCAGAUGGGAUUAGCUAGUAGGUGGGGUAAAGGCUCACCUAGGCGACGAUCCCUAGCUGGUCUGAGAGGAUGACCAGCCGCACUGGAACUGAGACACGGUCCAG